AAUGUUGAAAAAUUAGCGGAUGACUUGUGGCUGGGGGUGAAAGGCCAAUCAAACCGGGAGAUAGCUGGUUCUCCCCGAAAGCUAUUUAGGUAGCGCCUCGUGAAUUCAUCUCCGGGGGUAGAGCACUGUUUCGGCAAGGGGGUCAUCCCGACUUACCAACCCGAUGCAAACUGCGAAUACCGGAGAAUGUUAUCACGGGAGACACACGGCGGGUGCUAACGUCCGUCGUGAAGAGGGAAACAACCCAGACCGCCAGCUAAGGUCCCAAAGUCAUGGUUAAGUGGGAAACGAUGUGGGAAGGCCCAGACAGCCAGGAUGUUGGCUUAGAAGCAGCCAUCAUUUAAAGAAAGCGUAAUAGCUCACUGGUCGAGUCGGCCUGCGCGGAAGAUGUAACGGGGCUAAACCAUGCACCGAAGCUGCGGCAGCGACACUGUGUGUUGUUGGGUAGGGGAGCGU
rnacentral:rRNA from 1 species